AGAGAAUAGAUACCCAGGUAGUCCACGCCAUAAACGAUGGAUACUAGGUGUAGCAGGACUCGACCCUUGCUGUGCCGUAGCUAACGCAAUAAGUAUCCCGCCUGGGGAGUAUGGCCGCAAGGUUGAAACUCAAAGGAAUUGACGGGGGCCCGCACAAGCGGUGGAGGAUGUGGUUUAAUUCGACGCAACGCGAAGAACCUUACCAAGGCUUGACAUCCACUGAAUCACUUAGAGAUAGGUGAGUGCCCGAAAGGGAGCAGUGAGACAGGUGGUGCAUGGCUGUCGUCAGCUCGUGUCGUGAGAUGUUUGGGUUAAGUCCCGCAACGAGCGCAACCCUCGACGUUAGUUACCAUCAUUAAGUUGGGGACUCUAACGUGACUGCCGGUGACAAACCGGAGGAAGGUGAGGACGACGUCAAGUCAUCAUGCCCCUUACGUCUUGGGCUACGCACGUCCUACAAUGGUAUGGACAAA
rnacentral:rRNA from 1 species